UAAGUGCUGGUUCUACUUCUGAUAAUCUC
rnacentral:piRNA from 1 species